UUUUUCUGUCAUGGCUCAUUUCCGCUUCCGUGUCCUUGGUUGCACUCUGUGGUAUCACGCUGCAAAAGCAUCCAGGAAAAAUGGCAAAAUUAAGUAAAGAGACCAAACAGCGGCUGCAGCAACUGUUCCAGUGUGGACAAUUCGUCAUCCGAUGGGGAUUUAUUCCUACAGUGCUGUACUUGGGCUUCAAACGAGGAGCAGAUCCAGGAAUACCGGAGCCUUCAGUCUUGGGUUUACUUUGGGGUUGAAGAAGGAUGACGUGCACCUGCAUCAACAACCUCCACCCGAAGACCACGACGAGUUGGCCACAUGAAAGUCAAUGUCAGUAUAUAAAGUGUCAAUUUGGUCUGAGAUAUUUAUUUGUUAUUGUUACGAGUCUUACGACAUUGUCUUGAAGUCUGUUCCAUGUUUUUGUCAAUAAAUGUCUGACAGUAAAGCCCAUAAGUGGCCUUACGAUAUUUCAGUUUUGCAAAUAUAUAUAUACGAUGUAUUUGAAUCUCAUAAAAAGAGAUUUCUGUAGUUCAAUCUAAUAAGUGAAAUUCUCAAAAGACACCUGCCAAAGUGUUAUAAAUCAAGCAGUUCAAUUCACAAGUAAGCAAAUAGUUUUAUUCAUGUUUUAAAAAUACAUUCAGUUUAAAAAAUAAAUAUAAUUAUCAUGCCUUCAAGUAUAAAAACAAUAACAUGUAAUAAAUAUCCUCUUUAAAUAAUUCAUAUUACUGUUUGCAAUAAAUAAGGUCUUAGACUCACAAUGGCUUUUUUGAAUGAGCAAUAAAUAGGUUAUCUACAGAAUAAAAAAAUAAAAAAAACUCAGUGCGUCAUGCAAAAACAAAUACAUCAUCAAUCCGUCAGUGGGUUACGACACGUCAGUGCAGAUCCAAGAACUUCCUUAAUUCACUUCAUGUUUUGCCCAACAUUUCCGACGGGCUUCCGUGGCGGACGUGACUACCGCAAUAAACUAAACAUGGCGAAGACCUUGGCAUGUUUUCCCCUUCGCCGUUCUUUGCGCCUCAGCGCCCUCUCGCCGUCAACAAUGAAGAUGUAGAGCUUCCGCAGGAUGUUGUGCGCCGUCAUCUUUCUGUGGAAAGCAUCGGGGUGGUACAGUGACCUCAAUAGGCUCUCUUCCUUAUUGCUACUCAGGCCUGUGACCUCUUCUGGUUUUUUCAUCUGCCGGACAAGAGUAAGCAAGAGUAAGGGCGCCGUUUCCUCCUCACUUGAGGUGUCGCUUGAUGGCAAGACGGUGGUCGCUUCUGUCAACGGAGCGCCAUUGGCUCGCAGUACUAGAAAAGCCACCAAGCCCACCGCGAGAAUUUGCGUGUCUAAUGCGGAAGCAGAAGAAAAUCAUGAAUGAAUGGCAAAAGAGGAAGAAAAUUCAGGAAACAUUCAUCCCGACUUACACAUGUUGGGCAUGUUGCGUCGAGAUUACUCUUGCCUUGACCGCCUGCUCUCGUGGAACAUGUCUUGACUUCUUAUUGCACAGCCGUUAUAUAUUCUACUGACCGCAGGGAUUUCCGAAUACCUUCCGGUUUCAAUUAUAUACUGAUGAAACCGAUAUUACACUCUUUUUUUUUUUUUUUGGUGCAUACAGCAGAAUGUAAUUACACAGAAUGAAAAAACACGAAUUCAAUCAUUUUUAAAGAACAACAACUUUAUUUCAAUUAUUUCAAUUAAAUUUUACAACAGGUCGGAGCAGAUUUUAUUAAAAAAAAGCCCAUUUAAUGUAUUGUUAUAACAUAUUUUUAUAAUGUGACCAUGUCAAAAGUCAAAGUCUGCUUGACACACAAAUAAACCGAAAUUCCUCUAUCCCAGGGUGGAAGCGGAAUUUCCAUCAUCAUCUUCCAAAUUUGUGGCAGUGGCUUUGCUUAUCUCCAUUUCCUGGAAGAAAAACGGACGUCAAAAGAGAAAUAUUGCUUCUUGUCGCUUGAAAGAUGUGUCACCUCUCCGUUAGUGUUGAUCAAGGUAGUCUGGAACUGAUCUCCGGUUCCCCAGUUGGCCUGUGUCUCCCAGACUAGAUCAGAGGGAGGAUUGUGGUUUCCGCCAGCGUCAGCCGCCCAGAUCUGAUCAGCAUGUAAAGGUCAUUGAAAUAUUGAGCACCUUGUAUCUGAGAUCUUCCAGAUAAGAUUGAUUACCGUGACUCUCUGGCCGGCCUUCAGGAUGAACUCUGCGGGAAACUUGAAUGCGAUGGGAGCAGAAGAUCCAACCUGGCGCUUCACCUGCCAGUUCCCCAAAUUCUGAUCCUAAUAGUUGAAAUUCAUCUCAACAGGUUAGUCCAGGGGUGGGCAAACUACGGCCCACGGGGCACAUCCGGCCCACGGGACCGUUUAAUCCGGCCCGCCAACCCUGAAUUGUAUUAUUAAACCUUUUGUUUUGGUCAUUUUGCCUGCAAUGACUGCGUUUCCCCAGUAGAUGGGGAAGCGCUCGCCUUCGCAUUUACUGCCGGAAGCCGUGUCAGAAAGCUCAGUGCACACUCACAAAUGCGUGUACGUACUCAGUAGUACGGACAUGGCGCAUUCGCGCUCUAUUUGCUGUGACGACAGCAUUCUUGUAAUUCGCGCGCUCAGCUUUCAGAUGCAGUUUUGCGCUAAGCCACCCACAAACCUUCCCCUGGAAUCCUUCCAUUAAAAUGAGUCGCCCAAGGAAAAGCAAGGUGGACACAGUGCCGAGUGUUUAAAAGAGAGUGGCCAAUUUGGCUCGACGUACGCGACGUGACGUUCAGCCACAUGAACGUCAACAUCAACCCGUCACAGAUCGAGGUAAACGGACCAACUCGUCGGAUCUCUCCUAAGAAUUGCCACAACCAAAUUUUACUCCAGACUAUGACGCACUAGCAAAAAAGGGAGACCAACAACACUGUUCCCACUGAAAAUGAAGGCUCUCAAGUUUGUUGUAAAAAAAUGCAUUUUGAAUAUGAUUUGUACACAUAGCAGGGAUUGAAACUAGCGACCAUCCUCAUUUUCAAAGAAUGCAGGAUGCUCAAGGACAUUGAUGCACCACCUGUUUGCGACUAAUCUUAACCUGUAAAGUUCUUAAGGCUUACUUUAAGCAAGUGUUUCCCGUUUCCUCACCUCUGUUACCAGGUGUUUGUGAGUUAAAACUCUGCUCAGAUUUUCAGAUACCCCUCACCGUGUUGCCAUUUUGAUUACUUUAUUUGGAUGUAUGCUUUCACCGAUUCUUCAAGAUGAUAUAUUUGGUCAGAAUGUUUGCCGUUUGAUGUGAUCUCAGAAGAUAAACAUCUUUCAUUAAUCUGACCUGCAGGCACUGAAGUGACGGAGACUGUUAUUCAUAAUAACAGUGUCGUAUUUUAUGAGAAUCACUGAUAGCAGUUUUUUAGUGAUUUUUUUUUUUAAUGCUGUUAAUAAAUGCAUUUGUUUUCAAAAAACUUGUUUAGAAUAUCCAUGCUUUACUACCUACUGAAGGCCAAAAUCUUUUAUGCAAUGACCUUUACAGGUCGCUUAUAUUACUUCACACAAACACUACGUCCAUCUGCUCCUGGUUCGGCCCUCCGGUCUAAAUUUAGAACCCAGUUCGGCCCGCGAGUCAAAAGGUUUGCCCACCAUUGGGUUAGUCGUUACUGGAAAAUGUGCAAAUUUCGUAAGAUGUUCCAGUGUGACACAUCCACUGACCUCAUCUCCGUCAUUGCGGAGUCGGACAUAUUUGCCGUCCUCGUCCACCUCAUCCACAGUGACCUGCCCGCUAACAGAGGCCGGCUGGGCGAUGAAAGUACAAGCCUCAGCGUUUAGGGGCACGCUCACACCCUCGCUGUCGGUUUCGUUGGGACGCUUCCUCUUCCCGCUGGCCGACGUGGUCGGGCGUACCCUGGGGACAAACGUGGAGACAUUAAAUGCUAUGAGAGGAAAAGUUGUGGUAUGUUUGUAAGCUGUGCACACACACCUCUCCUCCUCGCUGUCAAGCUCCUUCCUGUGUGGACUAUCCAGCGCUAGCUGGACAUUGAUUAGCUUCUGAUACUCAACCACCUUCUGCUCCAACUGCUUCUUCACGUCCCUCUCUGUAGACAGAGCCUGCUCCAGAUCUUUCACUUUCUCAUCACGGGCUGCAAGCUAGAGUCAACACACACUUUUUAAACUUUUGCAGCUGAGACAGAUUCUAAGGUCCAAAUGAUGAAUGUGAAGUUCAUUCUGGCUUCCCACCUGGCGGGCGUUUUCCAACUCCACCUUGCAAGACUCGUGCUGGCGUUUGACCUCGCGCAACUCCUACGUGAGACCUCCUUUUUAAGGGUUUGAAUGCGAUACUCUCCAUCCACCCUCCUGGGCAUCUCAUCCUGCAGCUGAUUUUGGGCAUCUUCCAAGCUGGUCUCGAGCUAAACGUGGCAACAACUUUAACACAAUCAUCACGGUAAUUUAAUCGUGAUUUGAUUCACCUUGGCA